GCAGUCGUGGCCGAGUGGUUAAGGCGACGGACUUAAAAUCCAUUGGGGUUUUCCAAUCGCAGGUUCAAAUACUGCCGGCUGCG